rnacentral:rRNA from 1 species
UAGGGAAUAUUGCGCAAUGGACGAAAGUCUGACGCAGCAACGCCGCGUGGGUGAUGAAGUUUUUCGGAAUGUAAAACCCUGUCGGUGGGGAAGAAACGUACGAGUAGUAACUGACUCGUGCCUGACGGUACCCACAGAGGAAGUCCCGGCUAACUCCGUGCCAGCAGCCGCGGUAAUACGGGGGGGACGAGCGUUGUUCGGAUUUACUGGGCGUAAAGGGCGCGUAGGCGGGCUUUCAAGUCGGAUGUGAAACCUGGUGGCUUAACCACCAGCCUGCAUGUGAUACUGGUGGACUUGAGUACAGGAGAGGAGAGUUGAAUUCCAGGUGUAGCGGUGAAAUGCGUAGAUAUCUAGAAGAACACCAGUAGCGAAGGCGGCUAGCUGGACUGAUACUGACGCUCAAGCGCGAAGGCUUGGGGAGCAAACA